rnacentral:rRNA from 1 species
UACGUAGGGGGCGAGCGUUGUCCGGAUUUAUUGGGCGUAAAGAGCUCGUAGGCGGUUUGUUGCGUCGGCUGUGAAAUCCCGAGGCUCAACCUCGGGUCUGCAGUCGAUACGAGCAAACUAGAGUGUUGCAGGGGAGACUGGAAUUCCUGGUGUAGCGGUGAAAUGCGCAGAUAUCAGGAAGAACACCUAUGGCGAAGGCAGCUCUCUGGGACGGUACUGACGCUGAGACGCGAAAGCGUGGGGAGCGAACAGG